UACGUAGGGGGCAAGCGUUGUCCGGAUUUAUUGGGCGUAAAGAGCGUGUAGGCGGCCAGGUAGGUCUGCUGUGAAAACUCGAGGCUUAACCUCGAGCUGUCGGCGGAAACCAUCUGGCUAGAGUCCGGAAGAGGAGAAUGGAAUUCCGGUGUAGCGGUGAAAUGCGGCAGAUAUCGGGAAGAACACCCGUGGCGAAAGGCGG
rnacentral:rRNA from 1 species